CGUCGGUUAAUACCUAAUAACCGACGCCAUAGGGUUAUAUAUCAAACCCUUUCUGCUUCGUCUUCCUCACUUCCUCAUUUCACAACUUGUUGAACACGAAGAACAGCCACCCACAGCAGCCCCAAACCCACGAAAAAACCCUCGCCAACCACCACUAAAAUAACCUCAUUCUCCCUCAUUUCUUAACCAUUUUACCCCAUUUUUGUCUUAAAAUCUUCUAUUUUCUAUACCUAAACCUAUACUGUUAAAAAGUUUAGUUUUUUUCCCCUCUAUAUACCAAACCGAACCUAUUAUAAAGAAAGGUGGUGGGUAUAACUCCGGCCACCGAUUUUAGCGGAGAAAACGUUGAGUCUCAACGUCCAUUAAGGUAUAAAUAUGCUUUCUAUUCAUUUUAUUUAUGUACAUUGGUAUUAUUUCGUUUUUGUAAAUUUUUUUAGAAUUUUUUUAUUUUAUUAAUAUUAUAUUGUGUGUGUUCUAGAGGUGGUCGGAUUUUUGUAGCAUUUUAUCGCCGGAUUGCGUUUAUAAGGUUGUGUGCUAAUAUUUGAGGGUCGACAUAUUUCGGUGUUGAUCGGAUUUGCAAUAGGAUUUUAUCGGAAGUGACUUUAUCGGAAGUCAAGUACAUAAUUUUUGGUAUAAGGUAUGUUUUCUUUAACUUACUUUUAUAAGAAUAUUUUUUAUAUAUAUUUAGAUAAUCCUUAAAUACUAAGAGUAAUUUUCGAAUAAUAUUAAUACAAACCCAUAUUAUAAAAUUUAAAUGUAUAAAAAUAUUAAAUUACAUAAAAAUUAAAAUAUUACACAUUAUUUUAUUAUUCAAUAAACUAAUUAUUAUACAAAACAUAACUUAAAAAAUUAUAAAAAUAAUA